GCAAAUAUUUCAAAACAGUAAAAAGACCUAUCGGAAAUAGGUUUUUCAGCCUGGGUCUGAAUUAAAUGAUAACCACAACUGAAACAUAUGGAAAUGAAAUUUAUAAAUACAGGACUGAAUAUAUAUUCUGCAUAAUGAGACUUGAUAAAAAGAGAAGAAUUUUAGCAACAUAUUAAUUCAUUAUCAUACUGUUUUAUUUUCUUGCAAAGGUGAGCUGAUGUUGCUGGCUAUCUCUCACACUACCCAAAUGGUCUUUAUUCUACCACCAUUUGUUUUGCUUAUUUUUCUAUUUUUUAAUUUUCACGUUUUAAGUUUUACAUUUAAGUCUGUAACCCUUCUUAAGUUUAUUUUUGUAUAUGGUGUGAAAUCGGAGUCCAAUUUCAUUAUUUUUGCAGGUAAAUAUCCAAUUUUCCCAGGAUGAUUUAUUGAAGAGACUUCUUUUCCUCAAUGUGCAUUACUGGCACACUUGUAGAAGAUCAGUUGAUCAUAUACACAUGGUUAUAACUUUGGGAUCUCUAUUCUGUUCCAUUGGUAUAUAUGUCUGUUUUUAAACCCUACCAUACUGUUUUGAUUACUGUAACUUUGUUAUAUAUUUUGAUAUUAAGAGUGUGAUAUCUGAAGUUUUAUUCAUCUUGUUUAAAAUUGCUUUUUUUAUUCAGGGUCUUUUGUCAUUGCAAAUGAAUUUUAAGAUUGUUUUUUCUAGUUCUAUAAAAAUGUUAUUAUAUUUUGAUAAAAAUUGCUUUGGCUAAUAUAGACUUUUAAACAAUAUUAAUUAUUCCAGUUCAUGAGCAUGAAAUGGCCUUCCAUUUAUUUCAGAAUUUAACAUUAAUAUUUUGUAAUUUUCAGAGUACAAAUCUUUUGUUUCCUUGGUUAAGUUUAUUCCUACAUAUUUUAUUCCUUUGAUGUGAUUGUUAAUGGAAUUGUAUUUUAAUUUCCUUUUUAGAUAGAUUUUCCCAGUGUAUAUAAAUGAACAGAAUUUUG
rnacentral:lncRNA from 1 species